rnacentral:tRNA from 1 species
GGAGGUAUAGUUCAAGUGGUAGAGUGCAUGCUUAGCAUGCACAAGGUCCUGGGUUCAAUCCCCAGUACCUCCU